rnacentral:piRNA from 1 species
AGACACUGAGCAGCCCCAGAGCG